GGUGAGAAUGAAGCCCCCAGGCUAGACAAGAAUGUAUGAAAGUAGUGGCUUGUCCAUGCUAUCGGGGUAUAAAAGAAAUGCACUGAAAAUAUCCCCAGGCAGGGGGAUGCUGGGUGGUGACAGCAGCGCCCUUGGCAUGGGGAGCAUCCCCUUGGAAUGUGGAGCACCACACUUCCUGAGAUCAGCAACGGCUGCACCAAAGCCUGUGGGACGCAGCUGAGCCUUUGAAAGGCAAAGCACAAUCUUAGGUGGAAAAAUAAGUGUUUUGGGAAAGGCAGAAGUAUUAAAGCGGCAAAAAAGCUGGAAGAGCUUGUUUCAAGACAGGCAGUUGAGAUACUGAGUUCCUCCUGUACCUAGUUCAUCUCCUGAAUUAGCAUGGGCUCAGGGUUUCCAGCUCCUUGACCCAGUUUUUCAAAGGUUAAUUUGACAUUAUUGAAACCAGAAUUGAUGCAGUUGUAAACAGUUGAAGGCUUCAGUCCGUAACGCCACCAAAGGCCAGUGUGCGCUUGACCUUUAUUUACCUUCUAGAUUGUGAUGCAUGUGUAACCCUUAGAAAUGCAACUCCUUAUAAGACCCAGCCAUCCCUUCCUGUUUAGAAUCAGUGCGGAUCAAAAGUUCUUCACACAAAAACCUUUCUGCCAACACCUUGAGCCCCCACAUGAAGUUUUCUUUUGCAGCCAUUUGCCCACCCCAGAUCUCGACAGAUCUGGACGGUCACGUCAGGAGGGUUUCCAGCAGAGGCAUUCAGCUGCUGGUGGAAGGAUUUUGUGUGCCUUGGGUGGAGGAGAGGAGCGCUCAUGGCCCAAGCACCAAGUUACCCGCAGGGUGCUUAAGGGGAAAUGAAAUGAAAUAUGACGUGAUCCAACCUAAACCAUUCAAUGAUUCUUUGGUGAUAAUGCAAUUGCUUUGGGAGAAGCUUAAGGCAGAAGUAAUGAGAACAAAGGGAAGUGUUUACUGCGCUCCAGUCCUUGGAGUUUGUGUGAUGUUAUCAGGCACCAGAUAGAAGUAGGAAGAAACUUGCCUGAAAGACAGGAAAGCGGAGCAGGGCUCUGCAGUACCUGAGAGCUGCAGCGUUGCCCACAUCCACAGCGUUCAGGGUUUGGCCUUCAGAAACACACUGAGAAAAACACCAACAAGCCAGUGGGAGCAAGAGGGAGAAGGUCCCUUGUGUGCUUUGCUGUGGGAAGAAUCAAUCGAGAUGGUGGCUCUCGACCUUGCCUGAUAGAAAUCCAGGACAACAGGCAAUUCAGUUCAGGGCCUUUUCCUGAGCCCUCAACGGGCUCUAGUUAAAAUAGCAGUUAUUAACCAAAGCCACGCAGAGCAGGCAACAAUCUAGUUCUUAAUGGCAUGAAUCAGACGUGAGGAGGUGUGAUGGAAACAGGCAGCCCAACAUGCAAAUCACAGCAGAGGUGUUUGAAAGGCACCGUUAGCCCUGAACCUGUUCUUCUGCUGAGAAGGGACCUGGGUGCUUCUGUGACAAGUGGCAAAAGGAAGUAUCUCCUGAACACUCUGUGUCAGCAGGGCUGUUUGUGCAGGAGGCACAUGCAUGGGGGUUUUCAAGCGGAGGGGUUUUGAGAUGUGAUGCUCUGGGUGUAAAUACAAACUCGGAAAGCAAAUCCAAAGAAUCAGUGUUGGCAGCCUCAGGGUUUUCCAGGAACUGGACUCAAGGGUUGUAAAUCCAUGGGCCUGGCAGCACCAGAACGAAUGCAAUCCCACGUGGCUGUCCCAGCCUUGUCCCUGCCUUUGCUCUGCUGUAGCAUCUCUGGAAGUCCCUGGCUGGUGCCUGCAGAGAGCACUGCAGCACAGCCAAUGAAACCAGCAUGGACUUUGGAGCAAAAUAAAUACACAAGGACUUUAGUGAGCAA